CAAAAUGUCACCGGACCGAAUGCAAAAUUAGAAAUGCAAAAAUUUUGACUUUGUCCUGUCUCACAAAUUCACAAUCUCUUUUCUUUCCCAAUUCCCACCCGACCAGGCGACCACCCUCACCCUACCAGUGACUUCAAGAAAUCAUCCCCUCUCUGUCUCACACUCUCCCUGCUCCCAGUCUCCCUGACUCCCUUCCCCUUUUCCCUUUUCCCUUUCCCCUUUCCCCAGCAAAUCAAGAAAUCAUUUCCCCCCCGAUCCGGAGCGUUCCUGGCGAGACGAAGGCAACUUUACUGAUGGAAAAAGGACAAAAGCUAACGGAGGAAAUCACAGUCACCAUAAGUGCAAAUGGGCUGAAGUAAAUGAUUCUGUAAUUCUGCAAUCUGCAUAGACAACGAUCCAGCAAAGCAAGGAAGCAACGAAAUAUUCUAAUUUUCAGGAUUGUAGGUAUUAUGUAAAUCCAAAAACUGCAAACUUUAGGGUAAUUGAUUCACCUGUUUGGAAUGCCUUAAAAUGAAGUUCAACAGCAGCAUCUUGUUUACCAGCCUUAAAAUGGCCAUCUAUUAAUGUUGCAUAUAUAUAAGCAUUUGGCAUGAUAUUUUGGUCCAGCAUCUUUUUCAUAAUACGAACAGCUACAUCAAGCAUUCCUUUCUUUGUAUAGCCAUUUAUUAUAGAAGAAUAUGUGAUGACAUUUGGAACAACCUGUUUCCUCUCCAUUUCUCGCAACAGAGAUUCUGCACCAUCCAUGUCUCCCAACUUGCAGUAUCCAUCGAUCAUUGCUGUAUAGGUAAUGUUAUUUGGAAUACAAUUUAGCUUUGCAAGUGAGCAAAACAUGGCCUCCAUUGGAUCAUGUAUAAACUAUUAUAAUUUUAUUUGAAUUAUGUAUUUUAAGAUGUUUGGAUA